UCAGAUUAACAUGAGCAUAUCACAGUGAUUAGCAGGAACAUUAUUGGGUAAAGAAAAGUGAUCAAGGACACAACUUGCCUGAGACUUGAGAUUCCAGGUACCACGAUGGCCUUCAAGUGACUCGUAACCUCGCUACUAAUCGUAGCAAUACAAACAAACAUGGCAUAGGCAAAAUUAACAUCACAUCAAAUAUAAGCACAAACUGCAUAAUAAUGACCUACGCGUCGCUACGAGAUCGUAGGUUCGAGAACGGCUAAAAUCGUAGUUACGGUUAAAAAAAGAUAUAAUAUUCCCAAGUUAAUGGUUAAACAUUAAAUUUUUUUUCUUUAUAGAUUAAUAUAAGUCAAAAAUGUUAUGACAAAAAACUAGUUUAUCUUUAAUUUAGUUUAUAAUUCGACUAGAGGUUAUAUUUUAGUCACACUACUAUUAUGGAUAUAUUAACUUUGUUUAGAAGGUUUAAUUCAUUGAGCAUAGGUUAAAUGAAUAUUUAUUUUUGAAACCAUGUUAUUUGAUAAAGUAAUGUUACAGAGACGUAGGCAACAUUAUUACAAAGCUAACACAAUUUGAAUGGAGUAAAACGAUAUUAAAAUGAACAAGAUAUAAUUUAUCUAGAUUUUUAUUCAUUUUUAUAUUAAUUUUACACUCUAAAAUGGUCUGCCAGGGUUUAAUCGUAAAUUCCCAGGGACCUAGAUGUGAGGAUCCCCAUCCGACGAGGGACGAUGGGUUUAAUACUACGAAAUCUGAGGUCCCUUUUGCAAUUGCACCCAGACGAAAGGGUAUGGUUAUUUCUCGGUUGUUGGAUCACCAAUCUACGGAUCGGAUUAGAUCAGGCUCCCCAUGAAGAGGUAUGGAGUGACAUCCGUCUGAUCAACUAUCGGUAUCCUGGAUUUAAAAUCACCUUAUCGACACUGAACCGUUCACCCACGGAUUAACGCGCCAGAUCUGCCUGCCCGAACAUGAUGCCUACGGUCAACGGAUCCAUGAUCUACGGCCAGAAAGCCCUUUUCUUCCUUGAACUACACCCGCCCUUGGAUUCAAAGCCUAUGGCCCCGAUCAAUUACCCGAAACGACAUCCUAGGUUUUAAUCAGGGUCAUAGCCACAAGAUCAGACAGUUGCGAGCCCAUCACCUACCCGUGGCGGCCCCAAACGGUGGCGUACAGGACACCCACAGCGGAGCGCUCACUAGAGCUGUGCCCGCCAGCGCUCCAAAGCACUACCUGCUAAUACGAAAGGUGCUACACGCAAUAGAGACGAAGACCGAAGACAAAACAAUUAGGGCCAUUCUUACCAGUUGUAUGGUUGUGGUGAUGCCGACCCACAGUGAGAGCGGGCGCACCACCGAGGGAUAGUUCCGGUGAGCGAUUCCUGUGGCUCAGAGCACAAUUCCGCCCAGGCAUUGCUUCAACGAGCUUCGAUAUGCCCUAGCGAUCAUCUAUGGCCACGCCACGGACACCGAUCGACGGUGGCGGUGUUGGACCCCAGCCAGUGCGGCUCAAGCGCACGGUGAAGAUCCUGUCGACGAAUUCCACGCGCCCGAAAGUUCCUUGUUUCCAAUUGACAGGUCUGGGAGAACCAAUACAUACAGGUGAACUACCAUGGCUCUUACUCGAUCGCCAAUUGGGGGUGUGGGUGGGUGGGUGGCGGACUGGAUCGCUCCUCCUAGCGCUAAUGGCGGCUCGACACAAUCUC
rnacentral:lncRNA from 1 species